UACGUAGGGUGCAAGCGUUGUCCGGAAUUACUGGGCGUAAAGAGCUCGUAGGUGGUUUGUCGCGUUGUUCGUGAAAACUCACAGCUCAACUGUGGGCGUGCGGGCGAUACGGGCAGACUGGAGUACUGCAGGGGAGACUGGAAUUCCUGGUGUAGCGGUGGAAUGCGCAGAUAUCAGGAGGAACACCGGUGGCGAAGGCGGGUCUCUGGGCAGUAACUGACGCUGAGGAGCGAAAGCGUGGGUAGCAAACAGG
rnacentral:rRNA from 1 species